AAAAAUGAAAAAAAAAAUCUUUCAAGGCAUAGUGCAAAAAAAAAAAUUCUUGCUUAGAAGAUAGGCCAAGUGGUGUACUGGAGGGAGGGCUCAGGGGAGCUGAGCCCCCUUGUUGAAAUUUCAUGUUGACUUGGGGGGCUGCACGUUGGUCAAAUUUAGCAAAAUUUCUCCCACUCGUGCGGGUUCGUAUUGACAGCGGACAUAUUACAGAAAGUGGCCAGUUCUUUGAAAAAUGCAAAAGUUUCAAUUUUACACCGCAAGUCCACUGACAAUAUGAGCCUGCGAUCCUGGGAGAAAAUUUGCUGAAUGUGACCAGCGUGCUGAGCCCCC